UGGGAUGCAGGAAGCAAUUGUUUGGGCCAAGGAGUGCUUAGGCCUGGGACGAAUCCAAGAGAGGAGGAUAAGAGUUUCAGCAAUCCACUCCAUGUUCAUUCAUCCUAAACACGUUAUGUCCAAAGAUCCUGCCUUAGAUACCAUCCCCCGUUGUGCCGAAAAUCGCCUCUGGCAGGCGGCAGAGGCCUAAACAGUCCAAAACACACCUCAAAUCAUUCAUCCACUCUCCCUCUUCCACAACCUACCAUUAUUUUUCCUUAAUUCCUAUUCUAGAGUGCAAAUCGAACAUGAAAGUGUAAGAACCCUAGGUACGAUUUUUUUGCAAUUAAACGCCACAGAGGAAGAAUCAAAGCCUAAAUUGUCAGGGCUUUGAUUUCUCAUCCCUAAGUCUACAUGAUAGCAACGCAAUCAGCUCGAAUUAAUGAAUAAGAUAAGAAACUCACCUAUGAGGCAAAGAAUGACCUCGGUUUUGUAGAAAUUGGAGAAGAUGAAGCUGCAAACAGAGGAAGCUUUAGGACUAGUGGUACAUGCUUGAAGUGAAGAUAUGCCCAGAUCUUGACUAAGGCAUACAAAUUGGGGCAAGUCAAGGAUCAAGGUUACUUCUUGAAGAUACCUUGGAGACUUGAAGGUGUUUGGAGGAAUAUCUUAUGAAGAAAAGUUGCAAGGGGUCUAGGUUAGAUCAAUUGACUUUAGUCAACUGUUUGACAAAAAACUCAACAGUUGACCAAAGUCAAUUGUAGGUCAAAAUGUGAUUCUUGUAAUUGGGAUUUUUUGUAAUAUGACUUGUAUCCCGAAAAAGAAGAUGAUCAAAAAAGAAUAUGGGCAACAGGAAAACAAAAACUAUUGUGGUGGUCUUGUAUCCCAUUUUCAUC